CAGCCGGCGCAUGCUCCAGGCAUGGCUGCGCCCGGGCAGGCGCUGAGGAAGAGGAGGGGGGUGGAGGAAGCCCCCCGCCCCCCCCCAGAGGAGGGGGAGCAGGGGCCCCCUGCCCGGCCCCCGCUGCGCCCGGGCACCUUCUGGCUGAGCAGGAUCGUGCUCCUGCGCUGCACGGCGCUGCUCUACUUUGUUGCUUUUUUGGUGGCUUACCAUCAAAACAAGCAGCUGAUAGGGGAGAAGGGACUGCUGCCAUGCAAACUGUACUUGCAGAACGUCAAACGGUAUUUCAAAGGGAAGAUUAACCUGGAUUCCUUGACCUAUGCCCCAACACUCAUCUGGUUCCUGGACUGGUCUGAUAUGGACAGCAACCUGGACUGCCUUGCUGGCCUUGGCUUGGGAGUUUCGGCUUACGUGUUGGUCACUGGAUGUGCAAACAUGAUCCUUAUGGCCAUUCUGUGGAUUCUCUACCUCUCGUUGGUUAACGUUGGACAGAUCUGGUAUUCCUUUGGAUGGGAAUCUCAGCUUCUGGAAACGGGGUUCUUAGGAAUAUUCCUGUGCCCGCUCUGGACUCUCUCUCGGUUACCUGACUAUUCUCCGCCUUCCCAAAUUGUCAUCUGGGGAUUUCGAUGGCUCAUUUUCAGAAUCAUGCUUGGAGCGGGGUUGAUUAAAAUCCGAGGUGAUCCCUGCUGGAGAGAGUUGACCUGUAUGGAUUAUCAUUAUGAGACCCAGCCAGUACCCAACCCACUAGCCUAUUACAUGCACCGGUCACCGUGGUGGUUCCACCAGUUUGAGACGUUAUGCAAUCACUUCAUCGAGCUGGUGGUGCCGUUUUUUAUCUUCAUGGGACGUCGCAUGUGCAUCAUUCACGGCAUUUUACAGAUUCUCUUCCAGGUGGUCUUAAUUAUCAGUGGGAACCUGAGCUUCCUCAACUGGUUAACCAUAGUGCCCAGCAUUGCCUGUUUUGAUGACGCCUGCUUGGGAUUCCUAUUCAGUUCCAAAGAGGGAUGUGUGAAGGACCAGGUGUUGAAGAUACAAGCCAAAGAGGCAGCAGGACAGAGGCUCCCUUUGAGAUAUGGCUGCUGUGUCCGCAAAGUGGUGAACGUCACAUUUGGACUCCUGAUCACCUAUCUCAGUAUACCUGUCGUUCUCAACCUGCUUAAUUCCAGACAAGUCAUGAACACCUCAUUCAACCCGCUCAGGAUAGUAAACACAUACGGCGCUUUUGGAAGUUGGGAAAAUCUCCUCCAUGAUCCUGCCUUGCCUUUCUGCUCUGGCAGGAGGAAAAUCAUAAGGAUGCCCCUGAAAAAGAGCCUUCUGCAUGAUAGCAUACAGGGUUCUGCAUUAGGCGAUUGGGCUACCUUAUUGAGGUCAUACUAGCUAUCUCUGCAAGUGUCCACAUAGGCUAAUACUUAUCACUGCUUUCAACCUCAUAGAACUUGUUUCUCUAUCUACCGGUUGAAAAGUGGCUGGUUUUGCGGUAAGACCAGAGAGGUAGGGAAGGAGAAGAUCCUCAACAUAGCAUGUGCAGUCUGUUGUUGUUGCUUUGGUAUUAUAACAGUGUGCAGGGGCUGAUUGAUAACGAGGCCCCAUUGUGCUAGGCUCGAGUAAGCGACAUUCCCUGCUUUGUAAUCUGAAUAGACAAGACAGAGAAAGGGAGAGGAAAGGGGUAUAAAAUAGAAGCAGAGUGAUGGUUUACAAACAACAUGUUAGUUCCCCAGUUUUUGUGCUUGCAGCCAGGUCGGCCUGUCACGGGAGAGAGUCUGUGUAGGUGCCUGCAGCACACCCACUGUGGGAUCUGCGUGUCUGCUAGUUCCUCUUGAUCAGUUAUUGAGCUGUUUAGAAUUUAAUCAGUAUCUCUUGAGGAUGUUGCGGGGAGGAAGUAGAACUGGAGGACUGGGAAUUCGAUCAUCCUACCAGUUGUGUGCGCAAUUCCUACUGAAGUCAACAUGAGCUGUAGCCAGGCAGCUGAUGGAAGGACUGGGCCCAAGUCUUUUAACCCAGCUGGAGGGUCUGAGGUAACCCGGAUGAAACUGGCCAGUCUUCCAUAGUUAGACCUCUGCUUCUACCAGCCGCAGGCCCAUAUUGUGCUGACCAUGAGAUGUUCUCUAGUGCAGGUUUCUUCACCCGUGGGUCUGGACUCAAAACUGGGUGACCAGAAUGUUUGAAAGGGUCUCAUGGCAGUUCCUGUCCCAUGGGGCAGGCUGGGCUCAUCUCCCUGCUCCAGGCACUGCGACCUCUGGGGUCCCAGCACCACUCAGCUUGGGCCCAGCCAUCGUGAUAAUGGGAGUUUGGGUAGGCCAAAUUUGAGUGAGUGGCACUGCAACCCCAUGAGCCAGGUCAUAGCUUCACUCACACAGAUUUGGUCCAGUCAGGGAGGCGGUAGAUUGCAGCACCCGGGGCGGUGAGCCAAGCCCAGCUAGCCCCACAGCACAGGAACUGCAGGAGCCACCACUGUGGGAUGAGUGCCGGGCAGGAUCCAACUGAAACCACCCCAGGGCCUCCAGCCCCAGACUGUGUAGUGGGGUGUGACAGGUCAUAAACAUUUACAAAUAAUCCUGAGCCCAAAAGGGUUGAGAACCACUGCUCUAGAGGACUGAGUCAAAGGAUGGAAACGGCUCCUAUUGAUUUGAGUGGGUUGUGGAUCAUACCCCAGAAAAUAGUCAGCUGUUAUCAAAGGGGCAUUAUAAAAAGAGGGAUCUGACUGGCUGCUGAAGAUUCUGGCUCAGCAGGUACCCAGCGUAACUACCUAGGUGUGUUAUGUUCUUGUUACAAAAACGUAACUUUUGUAAAAGCCACGUCAUGCCGUGGGCGGUAGAACUACGCAGCAAGCCCAUAGUCACGCUGGGUUUUGAAGUGAUCUUUUACCCACCUUUCAAACAAGCAGACAUUUCUAUUCAGCCUCUGCAGAAAGAGAAGCUUUGAACAAACACGAUAAAAAACAAACCUCCACACUUUAAAACAGAGAUGUGUUUUGCGUGACACAUGAAAGCCCUGUUUUGGAGGAGGGUUGGAAGGGGCAGGGUAGGAGUGGUGAGAACAAAGUUGUAUUAAUCCCUGCACCUCUUAGAAUGGUGGAGUCUUGGAGUUAUGGGAGUUUGUUGUAUUUGGGUUGUUGUUUUUCUUUUUCCUCUUCAGUCUAAGAUUUUUGUUUCAACAGUUACCAGAACCGAAAGAGCAUGUGAUGAAAUGCUGCUGUAAUAUGUUUGUAAUUCCAGCCUAUGUAAACCAAUAAAAAGAGGAUUGCAGCUCAUAAUGAAUAUACGAUUAUGUGAAACUUGACAUAUUUUGAAUCACACAGUAGGAACCUACUUUUAUUAGUAAUUUGGUGUCCCUGAUUUACAGUGUGUUUCUAACCAUUGGGCAGCUAGCCACGGCUCAUAACUCAGCCGAAGGUAUAGUAUGGGCCUUGGCUGAAGAGUCCAGAAAUCUAUUAAAUGCAGGUAACAAUUAUAAGUUGAGAUGAAUGGCAGUCCAAACAUCUGUCACUGGAAAUAAGUAAAGGAGGAGGGAAUGGCUGGUCUGAGCUUUCAGUUUCUUGGGUUGGUGACGGAAAGACCAAGAGCAGACAGAGUUAGGGGAGGAGUUUUGGACCAGUUUGAUAGCUAGAAUGAUGCUGUUCUGCAGACACCAUGGCAAACAAAGCACUCCAUUGUAGAGCAGUGUCACUGACAGAUCUUUGGGAAAAAAAGUCCUUGCGGAAUGGAUUUCGACAUGGGCUCCUCGCUAUAGGUCUCCUUUUGUGGCGCGGUGCUUGCACUCUGCAUUGUCCGAUUGCCUUGCUGUUUGGAGGCUGGCAAAUCAUAAGACUUAGGUCUGUGUGUGACCUGCCGUAAGGCUGGGGUGGUUUUUAUAUGUCUAAUUAGGUACAGCCAACUUGUUUUCCUUUUCUAUUUCUCUUGGCUUCAGUUGUGAUGGCUCACACGCCACCCUCCCCUGCUCGGCUGCUGAGCAAUGGCUCCGUGAGACUUCUCCUCCAGCUGGGAUGGCGAAACGCUUGGGCACUUUCAGACAGUUGUUAAUGGUGCCCCAGGAGUAAUCUGCCAGGGGGUUCUCCAGAUGGGGUGGGUUGUAUACGCCAGCUGGCUGCCACAUUCUAGAGCAGACAUAACCAAUUAACCUGGACGCGCUGUACAUGUAUCCUGCCCAUUGCCACAGCCGAGGCUCAGACUGGAACUCUAAUGCUCCAUGACUGGCAGUCCUGCUAAGUGAACCUGAAGCAUUACUAGGGAACGAACUGAGAUCAUCUUCCAAGGUACCUCCAGCCUGGACC